ACCAGCGCGUACAUUCUGUGGAGAAGUCUUCGCGUGUACUCCCUGCCAUGGCACAGCUCCAGGCACACUUCUACACUGACAACAAGAAAUAUGCAGUAGAUGAUGUUCCCUUCUCAAUCCCUGCCACCUCAGAAAUUGCUGAAGUUAGUAGCAUCAUCAAUAAAUUGCUGGAGGCCAAAAAUGAGUUCCACAAGCAUGUCGAGUUUGAUUUCCUUAUCAAGGGCCAGUUUCCUCAAAUGCUCUUGGUCAAACAUAUGGAACUGGAGAACAUUUCAUGGGAAGAGGUUGUGGAACUGGAAUAUGUGGAGAAAUACACUGCACCCCAGCCGGAGUGGUGCAUGCUCCAUGAUGACUGGAUCAGUUCAAUCAAAGGAGCAGAAGAAUGGAUCUUGUCUGGUUCUUAUGAUAGGACCUCUCAGAUCUGGUCCUUGGAAGGAAAGUCAAUAAUGACAACUGCGGGCCACACAGAUGUUGUGAAAGAUAUGGCUUGGGUGAAAAAAGACAGUUUGUCUUGCUUACUUACUACUUUCUUAUGGGAGUGGAAUGUAGAGAGGAACAAAGUGAAAUCCCUGCACUGCGGCAGAGGGCAUGCUGGGAGUGUGGAUUCUAUAGCUGUGGAUAACUCAGGAACUAAAUUUUUCAGUGGUUCCUGGGAUAAGAUGCUAAAGAUCUGGUCUACAGUCCCUACAGAUGAAGAAGAUGAAAUGGAGGAAUCCAUAAAACAACCAAGAAAGAAACAAAAGGCCAAGCAAUUGGCGCUUACAAGGACUGACUCCCUUGGUGACCCUCUCCAGCCACACAGAAGCAAUUUCCUCAGUACUUUGGUCAGAUCCUGAAGAAAUCUGCAGUGUUUCUUGGGAUCACACAAUUAGAGUGUGGGAUGCUGAGUCUGGCGGUCUGAAGUCAACUUUGACAGGAAAUGAAGUGUUUAAUUGUAUUUCUUAUUCUCCACUUUGUAAACAUUUGGCAUCUGGAAGCACAGACAGGCAUAUUAGACUGUGGGAUCCCUGAACAAAAGAUGGUUCUUUGGUGUUGUGUCCUUCACCUCUCAUACAAGCUGGGUAACAUCAGUAAAGUGGUCUCCUACCCAUGAGCAGCAGCUGAUUUCAGGCUCUUUAGAUAACAUUGUCAAGCUAUGGGACAUCAAAAGUUGUAAGGCUCCUCUCUAUAAUCUAGCUGCUCAUGAAGAUAAAGUUCUAAGUGCAGACUGGACGGACACAGGGCUACUUCUGAGUAGAGGAGCAGACAAUAAACGAUUCCUACAGAUAUUCACCUACCACUUCCCAUAUGGGGUCUUGA